rnacentral:lncRNA from 1 species
CAGGCGUGAGCCACCGCGCCCGGCCAAUUUCUAAGGCUCCAUUAGGGCUAAGGUUCAUGUAUCCAUGGUGAAGUAUAGAAGAACUCAGAAUCGUUCCAAACAUAAUGGGCUUGGAGUAAUGGAGAACUCCAAGGGCAGGAGGUAACCAUUAAAGAGGACCAUCAUGUAGUGUGAGGAGUCAACAUUUCACACUAGAAAGCCCUUGGUUCAAGUUUUGUCUCUGCCACCUACAGAUUUUGUAACCCUGAGAGAAAAGGAAAAUCCUACGGAGGAGGGGCUCUGAUGGCUUUGAAGAAGGCAGUGAAUGGCCACAUGUUCCCUGAGGACAGCACAGGCUAAAGGCUCAGCUAGAAGAAAGGCACAGAGAUAGCAAGGGAAACUAGCUACCUCUUUAUGUACUGCCCUAUGGAGAGGCACACAUGUCAAGAAACUGAGGGAGUGCCUUCCAGUCAACAGCCAGCCAGGAACUAAGGUGCUCAGUACAGCAGCCUCCACAAAGGACUGAACAAUGCCAACAGCUAUUUGACUGUGCUUGGAAGAUCUCCGUUUAGUUAACCCUUCAGAUGAGACCGCAGCCCUGGCCAGCAAACAAAUUGCAGCCUAUGGAAAGACCUUAAGGCAGAAGCACCCAACUGAACCACCCGAGGGCUCUGACUUACAGAAACUGUGAGCAUAUAGUGAAAUGGCCUCUACCUUAUUUUGAAUGGAUUUCUGGGAUAAAGUUCUUCAGUGAUAACAUGUUUGAAGCGGCUAUCUUAUGUGCCCAUGUUACAUGCUCAUGAUAAAGCUGCAUUUCCUGAGGGGACACCAAUGGAUACACCUCUGCCUGGCACGCAGCUUAGAGGCUAAAUGUAUGAAAAGCAACACCAUGCAAAUCAUUUUGAAACUGCUGUGGAACUCUCACGGGACCCUCCAUUCUAGACAUCCAGUCCCACUAGUGAUCUGACCAUGAAACCUACUAAGAGACUUCCAGAAGAAGAUGACCUCUGAAAGGAGAAAACUUUCUUCCAAGCUUCUGUGGAACAAGAAGAUGCCAUCCCUUUGGUGGAGCCCAAAGGGAAACCAGGACACUGAAGGAAUUAACCAGAAAGAAAAGAAGAGAAGAAGGAGAAGAAAGAAGAAGAAGAAGAAGGAGAAGGAGAAGGAGACGAGG